AAUUCAUCUCUAGUUUGUUUCAGCGGUAAAAGAUCAAGAAUCUGGUCUCUUGAAACACAAUUUUCUCGCAUUCAUCAGCAAACAACAGGACCGUAUGAUCAUAGAUUCCUGAUCAAGCCUUGUCUUGGUUUAAGAGCUGCCCUCCUUUCUCUUGAGUGGUACGAGUUUUAAGUAUCAAACCUUCGCUCAUUGGUUUUUCCCUUCAUGUAAUGAUAGGGUUCUCCUGCUGCCGCUGCUGCUGCUGGAACAUGGUGAGAGAUGUGGGUGCUGUUACUUGGGGCAUUGAGGCAUGUGUGGCCUUUGUCAUGAGAAUAUUUGUCAAGCAAAUCGGAGUUUUAGGCUUGAGUGGCGGCAGGUCUGGAUUCACAAGAAACCACAUUUCUUUUAUCCAAUCAUUGCAAAGAGCUCACUUCUUCCUCUUCUUCCUCUUCUUCUGCUUCCUUGGCUUCUGGUAAAUGGUGGUGGGGCACGGUGGUGAUAUUGGCUAGACGGCUCAAUCUCUUUAUUAUGAUAUAGGACUACUUACUAAUCUAGUAAUCUUUUGCUUUCACUUUUGUUACUAGCUUUCCUAUUUUUUCCCUUCCCUUUCCUCUUUUUUUUUUUUUGGCUGAUAGUUUUGUUAAUAUGUAAUUGGCAUCCAAAUGUUCAUGUGGAAGUGCAACAAAAGGCUGGCAUGGCAUCUUUGAUUCUUAUUUCUUUCAAGUAAUACUAAUUAACUUGCUGUUUGGUGUUCUAGUUUUGUGCCUUGACUCCUGUUCAAGCAUAGAACAAAUUUACCCCGUAGAGAAAGCCAGAAAGAGGUAGGAUUUAAUUGCAACAAAUGGGGGCACCUACCUUCUAUGUAGUUCGGUGAGUAAAAGCGUUAAAAUAUUGGGGUCCCCUAAACCGUACAAACUUCAAUGUUUCAGCUCUGUUUCACUGUCAGUCUUUGCUUCUGUCCCUUUUGUUAAUUAAUUUUUCUUGGGAAAUGUAGGGGCUUGAUAGUUGAUAGUAUGUGCUCCAAUCCUCAAGGAAUUAUUAUGUCACCUUCAUCCAUAUCAAUUAUGUAUCGAGAUUUUUUCA